CAAAUCCUUAUGCCUCAGGUUCAUCCUUCACCCUUCACUGCUUUCACCUUUCAUCCUUGAACGUAAACUCUAAGUAAAUUUUGUUUUCUCUAAAGUAUAUUUUCGUUCCUUCCUUCGCAAUCAACACUUAAAUUUGUAUUUCCCUAAAUUGUUUUCUCUUAAAUUCUGUUUUCACUUCCGUGUCGGCGACAAAUUGGUCCGGCGCAACCCAAUUCCUAACCUAACACCGUUACAGUUAUGGGAACCGAGAGUUAGACUUACAUGGGACACAAUUUCAACGAAUUCACCAUCAACGAUAAUUUCACUUCUUUUGCUUUCAGCGACUCUAACAGCUAUAGAUCCGGCGAAUUCACCACCACUUCUUCACAAUCCCGACGACUCCUCAUCUCAUGUGCUUUCGAAAAUUCCAAUGAUUUCAUCCGUCAACUUGUUUCCGAUAUUCACUCUUCUUCAAUCAAAGACCAGUAACAAGCCGCCAUGGAAAUUCGACACCACCACACGUCGGAAUGCCACUAACCUCUGAUCUUCACAUUGUGUAUUAGUUAAUGAAUUUUUUUAUUUGUUAUGGAUAUUUUUAAUUGAAGGUGCCACUUUAGGUAUUGGAGCUGAAACAGCUAAGGUGUUAGCAAAGAGAGGAGUGUGAGUUGUGGUUGGUGCUAGGGACUUGAAAAAGGGUUGUGAAGUUAGAGAGAAAAUCCAAAAGGAGAGUCUUAAUGCUGAGAUAAUUCUAUUGGAAAUUGAUCUUAGCUCUCUUGCUUCUGUACAGAGAUUUUGUUCAGAGUUUUUAGCUUUAGAAUUGCCUUAUAAUAUUAUCAUAAAUAAUGCAGGAGUAUACUCUCAGAACAUUGAAUUCCCUGAAGAGAAAAUUGAAAUGACAUUUGCUAUAAAUUACGUAGACUCAUCCUUUCCUUACUCCAGUAGAAGCUGAGGGUGGCAGUUUUAGUUUCCAAAGUAGCAUUUCAGUUUCUGCAAGACGCGCAACAAAGCGAUUACAAAGUGCUAGAGGAAGUUAAAGAUUCAGGAUUCCAAAUCUGUGGUGAUGAAUUGGGGUCUAUUGUUGAAGGCCAUGAUGAUGAUCUGACAAUGAAAUCUUUGGCCAGAGACGGUGAAUAUAGUAAUCAUUCAAGUGAUUUGGUUCUGUUAAUUCAUAUAAAUCUUUUUGGGUUAAUCCUGAUUAUUAAUAUGAUUACUAUCUUUUAUGUAUACUCAAACUUGUGAUUUGUUUGUGUUUUCAUGUUUAGUAUAAUGUAUUGUCAACAUAGUUGAUGUCAUCAUGUGACUCCUUGGGUCGAGGCAUGUUCAAUUUGAUUAUGUCUAUAAUUACAUUAUUGUUCUAGUUCUACUUAUUUGCCGUGACAAUGCUACGAUGCAAUUGAUAUUUAGUUGAUUUA